GGGGAGUUUGAUUACCAUUAAACUUGUAUGUGGGACUUUUUAAAAAAUGGCCUUAAUAAAAUUACAAGCAACCCGCCUGGAUGCGGUUUUCAAAACAAGGCCUUGAGGACCACGCUAGGAAACCUCAUCAGCCCUCAUUCCCCGUCUGUCCAGCCUCCGGUGGGCACCGCUACUUGUCCCCUGGUCUUUGGUGUAGACAGAUAGGAGAGGAGGGAUGCCCACCUCGGAGCGUCCCAGGCCCGUGGCCCAUUUCCAGCAUCGUGAAGCCAGAUUCACAGUGACAUUGUGUUAACGUGACAACCUUGGUCCGUUAUGGAGUUCUUUUUCCAAUGAGAACCUGGUGGACCAAGGUCCAAGCUUGCCAGGGAAAGUGGGGCCCAUUCAGGUCCCCAGGGCCCAGCCAGGAGCCAGCAGCCAGGCAUCCCCGCGUUCCAAAAGGGUUCAUGCCCCUCCUGGACCUGGGCGGGCCUCCCAUGGCCUUUUGUGUGUGUGUACGUGUGUUUUUUUUUUUUAAAUAUCACUACUACAUAUUCUUGAAUUGCCAAGACUUUCUGAAAAAAGACAGCUUAAGGAAAUCAACCUUUUGCUUUGUGAUGUGAAAAUACUGUGAUUUGAUGAGCCACUUCCUGAGGGGCAGGCCCAUGUGGGGGGCUGCGGCAUGUACAUUGACCUGCCGCCUGUGUGCUUGGUCUACGCUGAGUCAGAGGCUGCUCUCCCCACCCACCCGUGUGCUCAUGGCUUCCGCAGACCCUCCACUGGGCACACCAGUCCCCUACGGUGAAGUUUGGCCAGGGCUCUCCCUCCUGAGAGCAUGGCAUCCCCACCUGCCUGUUUCGCUGACGUCACUCCCCAGGGUGGCGAGUCUGGCAGGCAGAGGGUGUAGCCCGAGCUCAGCCUCUCUCUGUGUCCUCCAGAGAAGAGGGUUCUUUGCCCCCGUCAGGGCCCUGCUUGUGCGUUUUCGGCUCUGGGUAGGAGAGUGUUGGCAUUGGUGUCUUUGGCCUGAUUUCUUCAGGGGGCCGAGCUCACAGGAGGACCCUUAGCCAGGAGGGCCUCCCAUGUCCAUCCAUCCCUCCUGCUGGGGCUUGGAUGUCAAGCUUGGGGGCUGUGAGCUGGGACCUUGCCUGAGCCCAGUCAGGUGGGACAGGCCCAUGGGGGGCAAGGCAGGGUGGCUUCUAUUUUAUUUUUUUAGAGAUGGGGUCUUGCUGUGUUGCCCAGGCUGGUCUUGGACUCCUGGGCUCAAGCAAUCCUCCCUCCUCUACCUCCCAAAGUUCUGGGGCUACAGGUGUGAGCCUCUUCUGCCCAGCAUCCCAGGCCUGAUCAGGCUCAGUGGGACCUGUCCCUAGAGGGGGCUCUGGUGCCCCUGUUAGGUGGGCCUUGAGCUGUUUUUUAACCAAACAUCCUUCCAAACUCAGGCUGCGAUCUGCUUCCUGAGUUUUCUGUAUUUCCAAGGAGCCCUCCAACCAGGGAUAGACUGGCAGAGUGAGGUCCAGCAGUAUUCAGGGGUCCUCUGUCGCCUCGCCCUGAAAACAGCAGCUCCCGUCACCUUCACUGGGUCCUGAUGGAGCCGUCUCAGAGGCCGAGGGGCCCUCCCUGUGGGGGUGGGACGCAAGGGCUCUCAGAACAAGGGCCACAAAGCCGAUGGCACAGAUGUGCCCCUGGGCCUGGCCCGUCACCUGCGUGUGGUGCUCUGGGUCAGGGUGUGCGGGCGCCAGAGCCUUCCCUACACAGCCUAAGAGCAGGGGCAAGACUCGGCCCCUCACCCUGGGAGGCCUGCCUGGGCUACAUGGACACCUGGGUCUCUCUCUAUCCCCAUUCGCCAUGGACCAGGGGCCUCCAUUUCCUGGGGGGUCUUGCGGCGUGUGAUUUGGGGGUCCCUGGGAUGUUCCGCAGCCAGCUCCACCUGAGUGUCCUGUUCCCUGUGGCCCUUGGCCUUCCAGGGUCCUGACCAGGCAGGGGUCAGGCACCCCAUACCCUUCCGUGUGGCACAGGUGUCCACCCACCCCCACUGGCCACAGACACUGUUCUCCCCUGGGAGCAGGAGGUGGAGUAAGUUGUACCCCCAGGCCUGGGUGCUGGGGAGCUCCAAAGGGCAUGGGUGGGGCAGGAACGAGUGCCUCGUGACCCGAGCCUCAGUUUCUCUCCUGUCACUUUCUCAGACCUGCAGGUCUCAGGGCCCUGGCUCCUCCUGGGCAGGAUGGGGGGCAGGGGCUGGGCCUUGGGGUGCUGGCUUUGAUGAUUCCAGAGGCUCUGUCCACCUUCUGGGCUCCUGGCCAUCACCCCAUCCCCAGAAGCCAGGGACAAGUGGCAUGUGUUGGGGUCCAGGGGUGGCCCCCAUCUUGAAGUGUUCUGGAAUUUGGGGGCAACCCUUGCCCAGCCCAGCCAUCAAGCACUUCUGACCUCCUGCCCAUCAGGGACAAGGGGACUUAGCCAUGGCCUUGGCCAGCAGGCCUGGGGAAGGAGGGCUUUGGCAGCCAAAGUCCACUGGCCCUGCCAUGCCCCUGAGUAGGAAACUGCCCCCGAGGGGCUGGGCGGCCCCACUGAUAUAUGCAAACCCGCCAGUCCGAGCCCUGUUCCCGCCUGUGCCCCUCUGUGCCCAGGCUGGCUCUCCCCCAACCCCAGCAUGUAUACUCUGCCACGGACAUCCCGUGGGCCAUGAUUGUGGGCGGCCACAGCGGGCGGGGGCAGGUGGCUCAGGGCACACUCGGCCGUCCCUGCCCCAUCCUCUGGCGUGGCCGCUUUUGUCUUUGUACCUUUGCAUCCUUUGUAAUGAAACGUAAUAAAAAUCCAACGUUUUCG
rnacentral:lncRNA from 1 species